AACGCACAUUGCGCCCGCCGGCACUCCGGCGGGCAUGCCUGUCCGAGCGUCAUUUCAACCCUCAGGACCCCCUUUCGGGGGGGACCUGGUGCUGGGGAUCAGCGGCCUCCGGGCCCCUGUCCCCCAAAUUGAGUGGCGGUCGCGCCGCAGCCUCCCCUGCGUAGUAGCACACCUCGCACCGGAGAGCGGCUCGGCCACGCCGUGAAACCCCCAAUUUUUUAAGGUUGACCUCGGAUCAGGUAGGAAUACCCGCUGAACUUAA
rnacentral:misc_RNA from 2 species